rnacentral:lncRNA from 1 species
GUAACCAUCUCCUCUUUCAUCGUACUUAUCAGCACCGGAAUAUUCUAGAGAUUGGCGGUAUAAAGCUUGAUUAACACCAUUUCCAACACCCCUUCUCAAGUUGGACGAGGAUGAAGAAACCCCAACUUGCCUAGAAUAUUAUGAUGCAAAGUCCCAGUUAGGUAUUUAGUAAAUAGAUCUGCCAAUAGAGAAGCAGAUCGGGCAUAAGACAAAGAAAUCAAGCUGGCUAGGAACUAUAGGAGAACAAAAUGGCAGUCGAUCUCCACAUGCUUCAUUCUUUCGUGAAACACGGGGAUCUUAGCGAUGUGAAUCGCACCUUGGCUAUCUGAAUGAAGAGGAAUUGGGAGUGAGAUUGAAAUAGAGAGAUCGUCAAAGAGACGAACCAGCUAGGUUAAUUAUGCUACAACUCGUCGCAUAGAACAAUAUUCGGCUUCGAUAGAGCUAAGAGAAAUAGCAGAUUAUUUCUUAGAUUUUAAAGAAAUUGGAGAUGAAGCAAGGCAGAUGUAGAACUCACUCAAAAACCUCUGUGAAUCUGGGCAAGUUCCCCAAUUGGAGUCGCAUAAAGCCAGAAGCUAAAAUGAUGAAGAAUGUGACAUAAAGAGUCCAAGACCUGGAUCCUCGAGAAGAUAGCGAAGAACUCGAAGUGCUGCAGCAAGAUGAUGAGCUCGAGGAUCCUGCAUGUAUUAUCUUAAAUGCUGAACGGUGAUGCGAAGAUCCGAUCUUGUGUAAGUUAGGUAGUUCAACUUGCCUAAGAGGUGACGAUACAGUGUUGGAUCAUGGAGAGGUUCCCCUAUUUUAGCAAACAAUUUGACUUAUACAUCAAGGGGUGAAGAUACUGGGGUCAAACGCAAGCAAUCAAAUUUUGCUAACAUAUCCAUGGUGUACUUCCGCUAACACAAGAUCAAUCUAUGUGUCUCACACAAUGCCUCCAUUCCCAGAAAGAAAUGUAAGUCACCAAGUUCUUAAUUUUGAAUUCCUGAUUUAGGAAGUCUUUCAAGGCAUAUAAUUCAGUAUUGUCAUUUCAUGUUAACAAGAUGUCGUCUACAUAUACAGCAACAAUAUAAAUGGAAGAAUUUGUCUUUUAAAAAUAUAAGGAGUAAUCAUUUAAAGAUGAGUGAACCCUUAAAAUUUAGGGCAGAGGUGAGCUUUGCAUACCACUGUCGGGAUGCUUGACGAAAUCCAUAAGAGAUCUUUUUAGGCGACAGAGGCUAGGUGGAGUGACCCCAGCAGGAAACUUCAUAUAGACCUCUUUAUCCAUGUUUCCUUGCAAAAAUGCAUUAUUUAUAUCUAACUGAUAGAGACCCAUCCUAUCUUCGCUGUUGUAGCCAAAAUGCACCUUAUGGUAGUCAUUUUGACUACUGGUGUAAAUGUUUCAUUGAAAUCAAUCCCCUCACGUUGUAUAUCACCUCUUAUCACUAAUCGUGAUUUUAGUCUGUCUAUGUUCACAUCUGAGUGUUGCUUCAUUUUAUACACUCACUUAUUGGGUAAAGCCUUCUUACCAGGAGCAGUUCUACUACGUUCCAGGUACUAUGCAACUCUAGAGCCUCAAUUUCUUUAUCCAUGGCUUGUUGCCAACCUGGAUGAUGCGGCAACCUGAACAUAGCUAAUAGGUUCAUAAACAUUCGAUAUAGAGUUGAGCAUAUGUUGAUUUAAAUAAGGUAAACCACUAAAAGAAAAUGAAGUAAGUGUUACUGGGACUAGAAAAUAAGAAGAACUAACAUAUGUUAGAGCAUCACAGAUAUAGUUCUUUAUAUAGGUUGGAGUUUUAUGUAAUUCUGGUGGGUUUUCUUAUGAGAGUGUCUACCACAGCUUCUGAUUCUGGUGAGAAAAAAUAGGAAAACUCCUAGAAACUGUAGAGGAUUUUGGUGUAUAACUAGAUGAAGGGGGUUGGAAAUCAAUAGGAGAUCUAGGUGUGUAACUGGAUGAAGAAAAUCUAGAAGGGCUAGGGGAUCUAGGACUAGAAAAAGAGGGUUAGUUGAAAGAACAUUAUCUGGAAUAAAACAUCUUGGGUUGGCACAUCAGAGGAUUGGAUAACUCAUGUGUUCUAGUUAGCCUUAGGCAAAAAAGACACAUUAGGAUUAGCAUCUUUAAUAGAGGCAAAUAGAAAGAAUUCCUCAUGAAACACUAUAUCUCUUGAAACAAAUGGUUUGAGAGUCUUUAGAUUGAGCACCUUAUAACCUUUUUUACUAUAUGGAUAGACCAAAAUAAUACAAGGAACUGCACUUACUUGAAAUUUUCCUCUAUGACUUGAAAGUGUGGAAGCAAAACAUAAACACCUAAAGCACCUAAGAUUGGAAUAAUUAGGUUUGACAUUAAAAAAAAUCUCAUAGGGGUUCUUUAGGUGUAAAACCUUUGAAGAGAACCUGUUGAUAAAGUAAGUUGUUGUCAAAAAUAAAUCUCCUCAGUAUGAGAUAGGUAAGUGAAAUUGAAAUAAUAAAUCUUUAGAGGUCUCUAGUAAGAGCUUAUUCUUUCUCUCCACAACUCCAUUUUGUUGUGGAGUGUACACACAAGUAGUCUGGUAAGAAAGAACUCUGACUGAACAUUUUCACUUCACAAUUCAAAAGCAUUAUCUGACCUUAUGACUUUUACUUUGCUGUGAAACUGCCUUUCUACCGUGGCUAGAAAGGACUUUAGAAUUGUGAAAGCAUUGGACUUGGCACUCAGUAAAUAGGUUCAUGUACCUCUAUUGAAAUCAUCAACUAUUAUAAGAAAAAACUUGAAACCAUCAUAAGUGGAAUGUUCAUAAGGUCACCAUGCAUCAACAUAAAAUAAUUCAAACACAGAGUUAGGUGUAAUAGAGCUAGAAGGGAGAGGAAGUUGGGUUGUCUUGCCAUUAGACGAGCAACACAAGGAACAGAAAAUUUGACACAUGAAGAAAUAGGAAUAGAUAUAUUCUUCAUAUUACUCAAAGUCGUGUGGCCUAAUCUAUAGUGCCACAAAUUUUCUUUUACAUUAGAAUUAGAAAAAGUAAAACAUGAAUUGGAAAUAGCAAUAGGCUUUAAUUAACUAUUGGAAUUAAAACUACUACUAGUCUUAGGGAAACUCUUAGAAGUUGUUGCUAGAUGCCUUAACUCAAAAGAUGUAGAAGCCUCUUUUCUCUUACCAAUUUCCAGAGGGCUCUUCAAUGAAUGGCCCUGCAGCAAAAAAUAAGGAGUGAAUAGGAAGAACUUUCUAAGCUGUUUGCACAACUUGAGCACAUACAAAAAGUUAAAUUUGAAUGAAGAUAUGUAUAAGACAUGUUGUAACUAGAUUAGGCAAAAGAAUAACAGAUCCAUAAUAAGUAACUCUAACUUUGUAAGAAUUUGAAAGUUUAGCUAUUAUUGGUUUGGGCAAAACCCUAAAAUCUGAAAAGAAUGCUUUGUUAAAAGUCAUAUGCUCAGUGGAUCCACUUUUUAUUAUCCAUGACUGACUAUCAAUUUCUAUGAAACAAGCAUAAGUAUCAAAAAAAAUUAAUAUUCUAGCAUAGUUGAAGAUGGAAAGAGCAUCAAAGGAAUCUAUGCCCUACUGGUUCAAGUUCACCUGUUGAAGAAGCUGCAGCAGCUGGAUCACAUUCUCCUAGGUAAGGGCCUUCACCUCUGAACUAUUGUUAGUUCCUUGUUCUGCUUCUUCGACUGUGUUAAGAACAUUGUAUGUUUGGGUUGUACCUUGAAACUUCAUCUGCUUUGUGAAUUUGAAAUCUGUGGGAACCUAUGGAUUUGAUAGCACUUAUCUAUGCUAUGAGCCGGCUUCUUACAAUAGGCACAAAUGUUAGUGUUUCUUUUCACAUCAUAACCUGUUUUCUGUCCUUUAUACUCAAUAAACUUCUUCCCCCCUCCUGAUUGAUUUGCUUCCACAAAAGAUGUUGAUUCACUGGAUAAAAAGGUGUGGGAUGUAUUUAUCUCUGCUUUUCAUCGUGCAUGAAAAGUGAGAAAGCCUGACCAAUGGAGGGUAAAGGGGAAGGAAACAGUAUGUUACUUCUGGCCCCAAUGAAAGUCUCAUUUAGACCUGUAAGAAUAUGUAAAUAGUAGUAAAAUAACUCUAAUCCAAUAUAUAUUAGGAGUAGGAUAGGUUAUGUGUAUAUAUAAGGCUCAUUGUAUCAUGUUUAAUAUCAAUAUAUCAAUAGUAUUUCUCUCCCGUGUAUUCUCACAUGGUAUCCGAGCAAUCGUGAGAGAUUUAUCGCUGUGCAGACAUUCCAGCGACUCCGGGAAGGAAAAUCAGUUGACCGGAAGUCUUUUUCCGGCAAUCCACUUUUC